UACAGUCAUAUCAUGUUGAAAUACUGAUUCUUGUAUGAUCACUGAAGUUAAGCAACAUUGAGCUUGGUCAGUACCAAGAUGGGUGACUGCUUGGGAAUACUAGGUGCUGUAAG